GCAAUGGUGGUUCAGUGGUAGAGUUCUUGCCUUCCAUACAGAAGACUCAAAUUCGAUUCUUGGUCAUUGCA
rnacentral:tRNA from 1 species